UACGAAGGGGGCUAGCGUUGCUCGGAAUCACUGGGCGUAAAGGGUGCGUAGGCGGUUCUUUAAGUCUGGGGUGAAAUCCUGGAGCUCAACUCCAGAACUGCCUUUGAUACUGUGGAUCUUGAGUUCGGGAGAGGGGAGUGGAACUGCGAGUGUAGAGGUGAAAUUCGUAGAUAUUCGGAAGAACACCAGUGGCGAAGGCGGCUCACUGGCCCGAUACUGACGCUGAGGCACGAAAGCGUGGGGAGCAAACAGG
rnacentral:rRNA from 1 species